CAGGAAAUAGUUUAAUUAAAAUAUUAAUUUUGGAGAUUAAUGAAAGAAAGAAAUUUCUUUUCCUGA
rnacentral:tRNA from 1 species